UCUCAGAUAGCUUAACUAUAAGAGCCCUUGAUGCGUAACCAAAAGACCUGGGUUCGAUCCCCGGUUCGGGGU
rnacentral:tRNA from 1 species